GACGAACGCUGGCGGCGCGCUUCAUACAUGCAAGUCGAACGUGAAGCUCGGAGCUUGCUCCGGGUGGAAAGUGGCGAACGGGUGAGUAUCACGUGAGAAACCUGCCCCGAAGACCGGGAUAACACCGGGAAACCGGUGCUAAUACCGGAUGCCCUCACCGGAUCGCAUGGUCUGGUGAGGAAAUGGAUUCCGCUUCGGGAUGGUCUCGCGGCCUAUCAGCUUGUUGGUGGGGUAACGGCCCACCAAGGCUUCGACGGGUAGCUGGUCUGAGAGGAUGUCCAGCCACACUGGGACUGAGACACGGCCCAGACUCCUACGGGGGGCAGCAGUGGGGAAUCUUGCGCAAUGGGCGAAAGCCUGACGCAGCGACGCCGCGUGAGGGAUGACGGCCUGGUGUAACU
rnacentral:rRNA from 1 species